UCUCCUGCCCUCAGACCUCCGUCCGCCCGCUCCUCUCCUUCCGUCCGACCUCCCACCUUCCCACCCACCCCCCCUCGCACGUUCAUGACCCCCCUCCUCCCAUCCCAGUGUAGGGAAGCCUGGUUAAGACCUCCGUCUGUUCGCUUACACAAUUUGUCGCCCCACGUUGAUAUCUGGGUAACUUGACGUCUGAGUACCUGGUGGGGGGGCGUUGCCAGGCCCCUUGAGGCAUGUGUGUUGCAUCUGGUGUCGUUGAGCACCUUUGAGCUCCGUAGUGAGCGCCCAGCUAGACGGCUCACAGCCCGCCGAUAGAGCGCCCUGGAUCUCGAUACAGGUGAAGCCGAAAGAGAGAGUCCCCGAAGUUCAAGCCAAUUACCGGACUUCGAAGGGGGGGGUAUUUGAGCCCGGAGCUCACAGCAAGUUAAGAGCCCCGGUGCUCAGAUGGAGGCAGUGUGCGAGCGCGUACGUCGUGUCGCUGUUAUAAGUGAUGACGACCAAAUCGUCCCCGACUGCGACGACCACAUGAACGACUCUCACGACCAGACCGGCCUACCUUGGGCCUCCGUCUCUCAGACGGAUUUGUUGAGCUUACCUUCAGGUGCUCAGUUAAGCGCUAUGAUUUACGCGCGCAAUUUCUGGAGCCCUCCCAACUAUGGAGGUCAUGCAGGUGUAGACCCAAGAGAGUUUAUGAAUGCAAAGGCGGGCAGGCCCCCCUGGGGACACCCCUGCGAUGCUCAGGCCGAGCUGGACAAGUACCUGCCAAGCUUACCCGAGCCUCCUGCCCAGCCCCGCCGAGACUCCGCCUCUCAAAUCGACGAAUUCUUCGAGGGUGAGGUUGACCUGACGACGGGCGGGUGGGUGGCUGGGCGGCGGGUGGCGGGCGGCGCCACCACCUACGUCUCCAGCGUCAGCCAUCGCGACGCCCACGACGAGGACGUCUUCAUUAAGCCCGAACCCAUGACGUCAGUUGACUCAUCCAAGCUGACGAUGUGGGAGGAUGUUACAACCUCCAUUCAACACCUUGAUCCAGAACUCCACGAUUCUCACGGAGGGCUGCUGGGGUCCCCCGGGGGUCUUUUGGGGUCCCCUGGGGGGCUUCUGGGGUCCUCGAGGGGGGUUUACGCCCACAACGCCACCAUAAAGCUUGAAGAACCCUCGUUGUCACAGUGCCACCUGUCGGCCGAACUGCCCAAACUGCUCUCUACGCCAUCUCCACCCCCUCUCAUCAUGCCCCCCCGACUCACCCAGUCCUCAACCCCAACUUCCACACAUCCCGCCUUCAGAUACCCCUCCACCAGCACCCUGGGCACGCCCUCGAGGCUCUACAUGCCGCCCACACCGCCCGCGUCAGACCACGGAUCACCGGCGGAUCCACACUUCCGACGUACGCCGCCCCCGCCGUAUAUUGUCCCUGCGUCGCCCACGUCGAGCGGGGGCGUGGGCGGCAGUCCGGUAUGCACCACCAGCAUGGGCGGAGGUGGGCGGAGCAUGGGCGGCGGCAGUGCCAUCAUGCCAUCAGCGCCGUCGCUGCCGUCAUCGCUGCUGGGAGACCCUGGAGUCAAGUAUUCCCGAAGGAACAACCCCGAACUGGAGAAAAGACGUAUACACCACUGUGACUUUGCUGGCUGCACCAAAGUGUACACAAAGUCGUCUCAUCUCAAGGCCCAUCAGAGGAUCCACACAGGAGAGAAGCCGUACAGGUGUCGCUGGCCUGAGUGUCAGUGGAUGUUCGCGAGAUCUGACGAGCUGACCCGCCACUACCGGAAGCACACAGGCGCUAAGCCAUUCAAGUGUAAAGUGUGCGAGAGAUCCUUUGCCAGAUCUGAUCACCUCGCCCUCCAUAUGAAGCGACACAUGCCCAAGUCACAGAAAUAGGAGAAGAGGAUAGCCAACUGGUUAUCAAUGCUCUCCCACAAGGACCUGUUGGGGAGGGAGGAGGGAGAGAUGGCCGGCCACUGUUUUUAGUGAAGAGCCCCCUUCAGAUGUUCUAAUGUAAAGAAAACGGGCAGCGACUUCAGGAUACUUCAAUGCCCUGAGGAACCAGGAGCGAUGCCCUGGCUGCAUUGCUUAUAUGGACAUAAUCCUUCAUUAGGCGAAUGUCAUGGUGUCUAGGCAUUCGAAGAGCCAUUUUGUAAUUAUAUAUAUAUUAUUACAGCUUGUUUGUACUAUUUAAUGAAUAGGUAAGGCUUCCUUGUCGCCUCAACUACUGCAAAACUUUGUAAAUGUUAUAGAGAACUCCUGCACUAAGAUGAUCCAUCCUCGACCAGCUCUUCCCUACACAGUCUUACGGGGUACAAACACAACACACAGCAAGCCAAGUUCUACGGUGAACAGCACAUACAACAAAAACGUGGCCUUGAAUCAUCUCCACUUACUCAUAUCUUGUGUGUCUUGAGUGUGCUGUCUCGUGGUUGGGUGUCUAGCUUCAGGUGACACUCUGACCUUGGUUGUGCCCACAUGUGCCAUUUUCUUUAGUUCGUAUUCUCUUCGGUGCCAUGACGAAGAACCCGUCCAUACAUGUGCCAUACACUUUGCCCACUUGUACAGAAAAUGGUCAUACAAGUAAAGAAAACGAUUCCACAUGAUGUCCACUUGUAUAGAAAAUGGAGAAACAUAUUGCCCACUUAGAAAAUGGACAAAAACGUCGCCCAGUUGUAUAGAAAACGGACAUGCAUGUUAGCUAUUUGUAAAUAAAACGGGCAUACACACUGUCCACUUUUAUAGAAAACGAGCGUGUGUGUUAGCUAACUGCAAAGGAAACGGGCAAACACGUUGUCUACUUGUAAAAAGAAUAAGCUGCAAGUGCCUUGUUAACCUUGUGUGUAGUUUUAAGAGCAGUUAUCUAUGCACUUGCAUAAUGGUGCAAUGCCUGUGCCAAAUUGUUAGUGAUAUUUUGUGUCCGUGUGUUCGUCUUAAUUUUAAUUAUUAUAAGUUGUUAUUGUUUUUGAGACGUGUGUGCGAGUGUUUGUCUCUCAAAUAUGUAAAGUUAGGUAGCCAUUUGUUUUAGUGCCAUAAUUACUAGUUUCAUCAUAACUUUAUUUUAGUCUUUGCAAUCUCUAGGCUGCAUAAAUUAUUCUUCACAACAAUGAAACCUUAGAAGAUCAAAUUAUCAACAUUAUUCCUGUACAUUUGACCCGAGGUGAUGUUUUCGGUGUUAUAUUUGACUCAAGGUUGUAUUUUCUGUGUUUAAUUUAAUUUAUGUGUAAACUAUUUUACUUGUGGGAUUUAAUUAUUUGUUCGCAUUUUCGUAUACUGUUAAAUUAUGUAUCCAAUCAAACUUGUUAAUUGUUUUCACAGUUAAUGUGAUCAUUUAAAAUUAAUGUGAUCAUUUAAUGAGACCACUGUAACCAUUGUUACCUAUUUUUGCAAAUCCAGUACAGUACUUGAUUAUGUUAAAUUCAGGGCUUCAUGAUCAUUUUAAAUCUAGACUACAUGUUUAAUAAUACUAAUCUUAAUAUGUUAAUUACGUUCCUUAAUCAUUAAAAAUUGUAUAUUCAGGCCCCCCCCCCAUCAACUAUGUUAAGCUAUGACUGUGUUAAAUUCCCCAAGCUGUGUGAUAAUUCAGCUACUGGGCCAGAUCUCAUAAAUUCUGGCCCCUUUCCCCAACUCUCUGGUUGUGUUGAGAAUAGCGACCUGGUGCGGCUGGAGGGAUGCAAAAAAUUAUGUAAAUGACUAAAUAUUACAAGUGUUGAAGAAACUGUUGAAUAAACUAAUUUGCAUAAAUAUUUGUCAGGAAGUGAUAGUAACGAAUUUUUUUUUCACUAGCAUUACAAUUUUGAUUAAAAAAUUAUAAUUUCGAGUUAAACAUUAGAAUUAGUAAAUUCUUAGAACAGAAGUCACUAAAUUUAUAUUUGAACUGACAAUGAAAUAAUAGUCGAAAUAAAUAAGUGUAUCAUUCAAUAGUAAUAAUAACAGUAGAUGAAUUAUUAUCAAAGGCAGUGCAGCAGUAAUAUUAGUUAACAGUAAUAAACUUUCUGUUUACAGUAUAUUAUAUAUACACUAGUUUGUCCCAAAGACCAUUAUCAAAUGCCUUGAUAGCAAAAUGCUUGUAGGGAUGUAAAUAUUUUUAUACUUAUAGGUCGAUACAAUUAAGACAUUGAGCUUACUGUCAAGCCCUGGCACUCUCCAGCCCUCCUGAUCCUUCCAGCGCCCUAACAAACCUUCUGAGCUGUAGUUCGGAAGGUAAGGGUGUCUUGGAUGUUGCCUCUCCUCACUCAUAAGUGACCUCCCAUUACUCUACCGCCCGUCCAAGGUUGUGUUCAUACCCCAUUAUGAAAGGGACUUCAGGGAGAAGACGCUAGGACUACUAUCAUGGCGAUUCAGUUUCGCAAAUCUAACCUUUGCGAACUCGCGGGCAAUUUAUGCCCUCGAGUCCCUGGGUAACUUGCGGCUUCUCCCUGCAGGUGUGUUGUGACCAGAUCCCUUCCAUUCCCCCAAUAACCACCCCGUCCCGGGAGUCGUCCAGCUCACAGCACAAAAUAUGUGUUAAAGAGAAGUGUACAAAGAGAAACAAACACAUUUUGGCGUCCCCCGCCAUUGUAACUUGGUAAUGAGCUUUAGUGAAGGUUCUGCCGCGACGGACCCGCUGCCCCUGGCUGGUCCGGGGGGCGGCGACCCCAUCCUCGCCGGCAGCCUCUCCUUCAUCGUUUCUCUGCUUAUCCCCCGACGACAGGGCUCAGGAGGUCAUCCUUCAAAGUCUUCUACUCCUACCACUUUGCCUCCUGCUGCCCCUUCGUCGGUAUCAGCAGCUACGUGGCUAGGGUGUCUCAGGUCGCGUGAAUUGUCCCCCUCCCUCUCACUCUUAACCAGCCUCCCUCUCACCCUUAUCCAACCUCGCUCUCACCAUUUUUGGGGCUCCCUCUCACCCUGCUUAUCUUAUUGUAGCCUCACUCUCACCCUCAUUCAGCCCCUCUCUCACUUUUAUGCCUUUCCUGGCUCUCUCUCACUCUCACACUUGAAAAGCUUCUCACCCUGUCAUCAGUACCAAAAACAUUACGUAGGUCUUUCUACACGCACCCGACACCUCAGUUCCUGCCCACUUCUCUCACUCUCUGCCUACAUAUACCACACCCCACUCCGUACACACCCUGUCGUACACCCCUCACUCCGUAUACUGUCGUACACCCCCCAAUCCGUACACACCUUGUCGUACACCUCCCCUCCAUACACACUGUCAUACACUCCCCCUCCAUACACAUUGUCGUACACUCCCCCUCCAUACACACUGUCGUAACCCCCACUCCGUCCACACUCUGUCAUACACCCCUCCCCUCCCAACACGCCCAUCACUCUCCCACCAAGAUACAGAGAACUCCUUGCUACCAUCGCCUCACCCAGAUUCACAGAAGACAUUUUCUAUGAACUUCGACAAGCUUAUUUAUGUAGCAAAACCUGUUCUUUCCUGUGAGGGAAUACCAUGAGUACAUCCAUAAGCUCUCUCUGUCUCCUAGCCUAGUUAAGUUUGCUAUAUGGUGUUGGGAUUUAGUGGUAAUUAGUGGUUUAAGAUUAGCAAUUAGAGCUCAUAUUCUCUCCUCCAAUUUACUCUUACUCUUGACUUCUGUCACCAUUUCAUUCAGCCUAUUUGAUAAUUAUCCUUUCAUCCUCUCCCUCCCUAUCUCUCUGGGGCUCCAAGGGGGAGCACUGACCCCUGUGACUAACAGAGGGUGAGUGCCCCCCUCGGGGCUCACUAGGGGGUCACUACACCGGUCUGGGCAAACAGCCACACUUGUUAUUUCGUUCUUGUUGUUCUUGUUUACAAGUCUGUGGCCCAGGCAAACACCGUCGUGCCUCCCCCCCCCCCCCUGAACGCCCCGUUCAACGAUCCUCCCUCUCCACCCACGCCUCUAGUGGGCGUGAGGGGCUCGUGUGUUGGCGUGUUAGCAAGAGGGCGCGGGGGGUGGGCACUUGUACGUGGUUGUGUUGCAAAAUUGGGCAGUAGUUCCGGGGCUUCUGCCUCCGUCACCUUCUGAUUGAAGGUUUACGCGAGGUAAUGCCAGUGUGGUCAACGCCAGGUGGUGCCAGUGGUGCUCAUCGCCAGGCAGUGCCAGUGUGGUUAACGCCAGGUGGUGGUCAACGUGGGUGACCACCUGGGCUCAGUGAACGCCACAUGUAAGAUGAAUACCGGUUUAUAGAGAUACAUUUAUUUUGUAAA
rnacentral:misc_RNA from 1 species